rnacentral:rRNA from 1 species
CCCUGCCCGGUGACCUAAGGGUUUAACGGCCGCGGUACUCUGACCGUGCUAAGGUAGCGUAAUAAUUCGCCCUUUAAUUGUGGGCUUGUAUGAAUGGGUAAACGAAAGUUAUGCUGUCUCUUUAAUGAAAAUAUAAAUUGGCCUAUAGGUGAAAAGACCUAAAUAAAGUCAAAGGACAAAAAGACCCCGUAGAGCUUUGUUUUACCUUUAUUAUAUAAGUGAAUAUUUUAUUUCUCUUUUAUUUUUUCUAAAAAGCUUAGCUGGGGCGGCUAAGGAAUAUAUUAAUCUUCCAUUUAAAUAAGUUCUUUAAAUAGCGCAAUAAGGCCUAAAGCCUAAAUUUAAAUUGACCCCUUAUAGGACCAAAUGAAAUAGUUACCUCGGGGAUAACAGAUUUAUCCUUCUUGAGAGUUCGCAUUGACAGAAGGGCUUGACACCUCGAUGUUGGCUUAGGAUACCCAGGAGGUUGCAGAAGCUUCCAAAGGUGGGUUUGUUCAACCUUUAAAAUCCU